ensembl:lncRNA
AUGUUAAGUUUAAAUGUGAAAACAUGUCUGUUCUCCUCUGCACAGAUGAAGAGAUCCAUCAGUCACCCAGGAACCUACAGCUUUGAGAGGUCAGGAAUGCUGAAGGAGUGUGUGAGCGGAGCUCAAAGGUCAAUGCCCCGCAGACCACGAACGUGCUCGGACAGCUCCGUAUAUGACGCCCCCUGUGAGUUUAAUCUGAAACAUAAUAUUCCCCUGAAAUUCUAUUUAAAGUUUAUCCUCCUCUGCUGAAUCCACAGAGCACACAAUCAGAACCAGAAUCAAUCAGUGUCUGUUCUUUCAGGUCCACUGCCGGGUCUGAACGGUGACUCAUCCUCUAUCCCAGAAGAAAGAACGGACAGCGUCAGCCCCAAGACCCCACCCACACAUGUAGACACAGACUUGUCUAUUUGAACCCCAAUCCAAAGGCGGCAGAACCACCGCUGUUCUGUUGGACAUUUUUGAAAACGUGUCCCUUCUGCUGAUCUAUUGCAGUUUCAUGCUGCAGCUGAGCUUCUGCUGCUGCCGUGCACGUGGCCCGCUCAGAGUUGACUCGUUCAGCGCAGAGAAUGAACCUGAAUCUGCAGACAGACUUUUUCUCCUGACUGUGUCUAUGCAGAAUGCAAUGAUUCUGUUUUCUGAUGAAGCUUUGGGAGAACCAGUUCCGGUUCACAGGGAUCGGCAAGAAUCAACAGGUGUGCCGCUGCAGACUGUCGGAGGUGAACAGUACACUGAUCUGUAACAACAUGAAUGUUAAAGUUUGCAGCUAAAAGCCAAAUAGACAGCCUGGAUCAGAACCAGGAUCAGAAUCUGACAAUUUGUGGUCAGGAAUCUCAGCCCAUAACAACUCAACCAGAGUUGUUUGGGAGGGGGCAGGGCUGUAGGAGGAGCUCUGUGGGGGGUGCUGAGGUGUUUGCAUUCUGAUUUGCUGCAUGACUGUUCAAAAUUCUGGUCCAGCAAUAUGACCUCGAUGCAACCCUUAAGACAACGUUGAUCUUGGUAAAAAACAGGGACCGCUGUAACCAAAUGGGUAUGAAGGGCUUAACUCUGGAUUUAGUCUCAGAAACUGAAAAACAGCAGCUAUGGAAGCCCUGCCCCCCCGAAUGAAUCAUAAAAAGCUGCUUCACUUUAGACAAACAUUACAUGUUUAUUUAUUUACAAACAUUUUCUGUUAGAAGAGAGAGAAAAGUGUUUGGAAGUGACUGAAGUUUGACGUGUUAGAGCGCCGCCCCUCAGCAGCAGGACGCCUCAGCUCUUCUCAUCUCACCAACUUUCACCAUUGGUGCUGUUCUGUGAUCAAAUCCUCCAGUUUGUCAGCCUCAAAUCAUCACACGUCCACUGCCGUGCUUCAGAGCUCUUUUGGUGAUGUUGCCUGAGGUCUAACGUCUCAGAGGAAGCAGUUUUUUUAAGGAAGUCUUGAUCAUUUCCUGCAAACUUUAGAUUGGACUGAGGGACGGGGGUUCAGGCUGGUGGCGGCAGAACUUCCAGACCUCAUGACAUGAGCAUCCACAGCCUUUAUAGACAUGCACCAAUGCAUUUGUUUUUAAUUUGUAAGUAAAUAGAUCUGCUGGUUCAGAAUUAUUUGUCCAUUUUUCUUUUUGCAAGAAAAACAAGACAAUAACUAAGACAAAAAGUUGUGCUUUUGUGAAAGCAUAGCUCUUACUGAAGUGCUAACGGUUAGCUUGACAGCUGCUGAUGCAUCUCACCUGAAUGUUCCCGAAAGUUUCUUUUUUGUUUUGUGGCAUGUGGUCUAAAAUAAUUCACCAUUUCAAAGCUUAAAGUAAAAACGUAGGAUGGAUUCAGACUGGAAAAGUGCAUUGGUCAUGACCGGGUCAGUUUUAUUAGGUCUGGAUUGUCCUGAACCUUUGCCUUUGUCUGGAUUCAGACUGCCUUAUAACCAGACUAUUCUGUUUAAAAGCAAAGCUUGAAAACCAAACCACAUGGCUAAAUAUCUCUUCAGACAUUGUCCAGGAAUUACAAGGGUGGGGCAAAGCAACGAAAGAAAGAAUAAUGGAAGUUCUAGACGAUGCCUGUCGGGAUGGUUCACUUAUUCAAACGUCAUAUUUCACUGACCAACGCCUGAAUCAACGUCAGGAACAACACUUUAUACUUUGAUCUGGCUGAGGCAUGCUGCAGGGUAGUCACUGAGAAAACCCCGGCUAAACGGUACGCUCAAGUGUUUAUUACAUCAGUGUAAGAAGCAAUGUGGAUUUUUUUUUUACUUGUCCUGUCCAACAGCUGAGCAGGCAGAUGAGAGCUGAGGGCCUCUUGUGUUGGACAUAUUUUACUUUAACAAGAGGGGUUAUUAAUCUUCAGACAAACCAGAGGUAUGUCUGGAUAAACCCCUUUUGGAAUUGAGGCCAUGCUUUAUUAAUUUCACUCAUGUUUGAAAAUUUCUGGAGUUGGACCGGACGGAAAAGGAAAGAAGGGAAGAAGAGAGAGGGAUGUUAGAGGGGGGGGGGGGGGGGGUGGGGGGGUGAUAAUAGGAGGGAAGGGGGGGAUAAGACCGUGAAGCAGCAUAAAGCAACAAGUUUCUGGAUGUUUAUCAUUACAGUAAGGUUCAGAUGUAAUACAAAUCUAGCCCUUGUGCUAUUUUAGAUGACCCCCCCCACCUCCAUUGACGUGUUCUCCCUACCAUGACAAAGGUGGAUAAAGGUGGAAAGAUUUCAUGUAAUCCAUGGACACCAGUGAAGAUCACAAAUCAUUGAAGAAAAAAGGUUCAGAGCUCUGUCUAGUGGGUCUAGAUCAGUGUUUUUCAACCUUUUUUGAGCCACAGCACACUUUAACCUCGACAAAAAUCCUGCGGCACACCAGCAUCCA